rnacentral:rRNA from 1 species
CCCAGACUCCUACGGGAGGCAGCAGUGGGGAAUAUUGCACAAUGGGGGAAACCCUGAUGCAGCGACGCCGCGUGAGUGAAGAAGUAUUUCGGUACGUAAAGCUCUAUCAGCAGGGAAGAAAAAAAGUCCUUUGGACUUUGGACGGUACCUGACCAAGAAGCCCCGGCUAACUACGUGCCAGCAGCCGCGGUAAUACGGAGGAUGCGAGCGUUAUCCGGAUUUAUUGGGUUUAAAGGGUGCGCAGGCGGAAGAUCAAGUCAGCGUUAAAAUUGGGAGGCUCACCCUCUUCGAGCCGUUGAAACUGGUUUUCUUGAGUGAGCGAGAAGUAUGCGGAAUGCGUGGUGUAGCGGUGAAAUGCAUAGAUAUCACGCAGAACUCCGAUUGCGAAGGCAGCAUACCGGCGCUCAACUGACGCUCAUGCACGAAAGUGUGGGUAUCGAACAGGAUUAGAUACCCUUGUAG